rnacentral:rRNA from 1 species
UGGCGAACGGGUGAGUAACACGCGGGUGAUCUGCCCUGCACUCUGGGAUAAGCCUGGGAAACUGGGUCUAAUACCGGAUAGGACCAUGCUUUAGUGUGUGUGGUGGAAAGUUUUUUCGGUGUAGGAUGAGCCCGCGGCCUAUCAGCUUGUUGGUGGGGUAAUGGCCUACCAAGGCGGCGACGGGUAGCCGGACUGAGAGGUUGGUCGGCCACAUUGGGACUGAGAUACGGCCCAG